rnacentral:lncRNA from 1 species
CACACUGGGGACAUUGGGGUCAAUGGGGACAGAUUGGGGACACACUGGGGUUGAUGGGGACACAUUGGGGUCAAUGGGGACAUUGGGGACACACUGGGGACAUUGGGGACACACUGGGGUCAUUAGGGACACAUUGGGGUCAUUGGGGAUGGAUUGGGGACACAGUGGGGUCACUGGGGCACAUUGGGGUCAAUGGGGACACAUUGGGGACACACUGGGGACAGAUUGGGGACGCAGUGGGGUUACUGGGGCACAUUGGGGUCACUGAGGACACAUUGGGGACACAUUGGGGACACACUGGGGUCACUGGGGUCAAUGGGGACAGAUUGGGGACACACUGGGGUUGAUGGGGACACAUUGGGGUCAAUGGGGACAUUGGGGACACACUGGGGUCAUUAGGGACACAUUGGGGACACAUUGGGGUCAUUGGGGACACACUGGGGACACACUGGGGUCACUGGGGCACACUGGGGUCAAUGGGGACACACUGGGGACACACUGGGGCCAAUGGGGACACAUUGGGGUCACUGAGGUCAAUGGGGACACAUUGGGGUCACUGAGGACACAUUUGGGACACUGGGGACACAAUGGGGACACACUGGGGUCACUGGGGCAUAUUGGGGUCAAUGGGGUCAUUGGGGACACACUGGGGACACUUUGGGGACAUUGGGGACACUGGGGACGCAGCGGUGUCUCACAGCCACGAAAUGGCAGAAGCGCGCAUCGCGGCGCUGCUUGGCCUUCAGCUGCUCCAGGGCGAAGGACUGACGGCUGCAGAAGCGAGCGGACAGCUUCUGGAACCAGCGGCCCUCGGCGCCGUCGAACUGGGGGAAACGUGGCGAGGACACGCUAAGGACACGCUAAGGACACGCUAAGGACACGCCAUUACAUGCUAAGGGUGUGAUAAGGAUGUGAUAAGGGUGUGACAAGUACAGCUUCUGGAACCAGCGGCCCUCGGCGCCGUCGAACUGGGGGAAACGUGGCAAGUACACGCUAAGGACACGCUAAGGACACGCUAAGGACACGCUAAGAACACGCCAUGACACGCUAAGGGCGUGAUAAGGGAGUGAUAAGGGAGUGAUAAGGACGUGACAAGUACAGCUUCUGGAACCAGCGGCCCUCGACGCCGUCGAACUGGGGGAAACGUGGCGAGGACACGCUAA